AGAAAGCGUUGUGACGUGGCAGGCCCAGGAGGUCUUCCCAAAGGCCUGAGUUACUUCUGAGAACAGGACUGAGUUGGGGAAGUUGCUUCAGACGUUGAAGAUCAUGCCUUGAGUUUUAGAAUCUCUAGCAAACCUGGCUACAGCAAAAGAAACCGUUGGCAGCGUCUGCAUUCGAAGAUUUAUACGUUCCUAAAACUUUCAUCUUUUCUCAUACAUGGGUUCGGGCACACUACAGCCAGUCAAAGUGUGUGCGAUGCUGCUCGUGGUUCUCGAUGUUUGCUCCAGCCCGUGCACUCGAAUGUUGGUUUGAAACAAUUGGCAGCUGUUGUGCUCCAAGUGUCCUUUCUGCUGCUGCUGUACUCCCGUUGAGCGGCCGUACGAGUUGUCAUCUUGCCCUUCGCCGAGUCACCUCGGCUCAUGUGCUGCUUUCACAGCCGUAUUCUAAAGCACUGUUGUUUGGAUCUGUGUUUUCUCUACAUGAUCUAUGGUCCACUUACCUAAGCAAUUGUUGGCAAGAGCACUGGCAUAUGGUCCAUCAGCAGGAGGACGAUUGUGCUGGGAACAGCAAGCUCAGAGUAGUUUACAUAAACUCUUCCUCUCUACCUGUAGUUUUAAAAGGUUGCUGUAAUUGUGCAUUUAAAGGAAACAGACUAGUUAGAGACCUGGUAGUAUGUAAUAGUAGCCAAAUAAAUGUCUUGAAACCUGCUCAGAGCUUGCCUGGAAAUUCAUUUUAA
rnacentral:lncRNA from 1 species